UUUCCGUAGGUGAACCUGCGGAAGGAUCAUUAUUGGAUUUUGAAACUUCAGGCUGCUGCUGGCUCUCCUCGGAGGGCAUGUGCACGCUUGUUGUCCAUUAUUUCUCCCACUGUGCACAAAUUGUAGACCUUUCAGUAGGCCUAUGUUGUUUUUCACAAUCUCUGAAUGUAAUAGAAUGGUUUUGAAUCUUGGGAAAUACAAAACAACUUUCAGCAACGGAUCUCUUGGCUCUC
rnacentral:misc_RNA from 1 species